rnacentral:rRNA from 1 species
AUUGAACGCUGGUGGCAGGCCUAACACAUGCAAGUCGAGCGGAGCGGCGGACGGGAGAGUAAUGCCUAGGAAUCUGCCUGGUAGUGGGGGAUAACGUCCGGAAACGGGCGCUAAUACCGCAUAGUAUCAGAUGAGCCUAGGUCGGAUGAGCUAGUAGGUGGGGUAAAGGCCUACCAAGGCGACGAUCGGUAACUGGUCUGAGAGGAUGAUCAGUCAAGUGGGAACGUAGACAGGGUCCAGACUCCUACUGGAGGCAGCAGGGGGGAAUAUUGGACAAGGGGCGAAAGCCUGAUCCAGCCAUGCCGCGUGUGUGAGGAAGGUCUUCGGAUUGUAAAGCACUUUAAGUUGGGAGGCGUUACCAACAUAGUAAGCACCGGCUAACUUCGUGCCAGCAGCCGCGGUAAUUC